UACGGAGGGUGCGAGCGUUGUCCGGAAUCAUUGGGCGUAAAGGGCGCGUAGGUGGCCCGGUCAGUCAGUGGUGAAAGCGCGGGGCUCAACUCCGCGUCGGCCAUUGAUACUGCGGGGCUGGAGCACUGUAGAGGCAGGCGGAAUUCCGGGUGUAGCGGUGGAAUGCGUAGAGAUCCGGAAGAACACCGGUGGCGAAGGCGGCCUGCUGGGCAGUUGCUGACACUGAGGCGCGACAGCGUGGGGAGCAAACAGG
rnacentral:rRNA from 1 species